rnacentral:rRNA from 1 species
GUGCCAGCCGCCGCGGUAAAACGUAGGAGGCAAGCGUUAUCCGGAUUUACUGGGCGUAAAGGGCAAGUAGGUGGUCCGAUGCGUCGGGUUUGAAAUCGCCUGGCUUAACUGGGCGGGUGGACCCGAAACGGUUGGACUUGAGGUAGGGAGAGGGAUGCGGAAUUCCUGGUGUAGUGGUGGAAUGCGUAGAGAUCAGGAGGAACACCCGUGGCGAAAGCGGCAUCCUGGCCCUGACCUGACACUGAGGUGCGAAAGCGUGGGGAGCAAACAGGAUUAGAAACCCGCGUAGUCC